GUCCCCAUGGCAACGGGCGGCGCGGCCUGCGGGGCGGCGCCGGCCGCGCUCCCUCGGUGGGCCCCGGCCGCUGCCUCCUCUCAGCGCUCCCCCACCGGCCUUCGUAUCGCCGCCUCCGCCUCAGCGCCGUGCUCGGCCCCGAGGGGAGCGGCUGCGGCCUGUCUGCGGGCAGGGGGGACGGUCCCCGCCCGGCUCCCCGGAGCCGGAGGCUUGGCCGGGCCUCACAGGUGUCGGUGGGGCCUCCUCAGGGAGAGAGUAACGUUCGGGGGAACCAUGCGCAUUGUUAAUGUAUCAACACAUUAAGCAGCCACCAGCCUGUUAAAACUCGGCCAGUUUGCUCUGUGAGGGGCCUGGAGCAGGAGUCUGCAGAAACUUAACUCCUGAUCCUAACUAUUCACUUACUAGUCAGAGUCAGAUGUGCUGAGUAUCCACGGUGCUGUCCCGCUGUCCUGGACCGACACCGGCGUGGGCUAAUUCCUCCUCCUGCGCAGGACACGGCUCCUCACUGGAGUGAUCCUAACAAGAGCAAAGAAAAGCAGCAUUACCAAGGCCCUGGUUUGUAAUAAAGUUCCAGACCCUGCCCAAAGAUACAUCUGUAAAAUAACCCGGAAUUCUUAGUGUUUCCUGCCAGGAGAAGCCUGAACAGGAGUGUGCAAGGACUUGGUACGCUCAGGUUGCAAUGAUCACCAGCCAAAACCUGGCUUUGCUUUCCUCGAAAGGCCAAAGUUGUGUGGGUGCAAUGGUGAGCCUCGUUAAUGGUUAGCAGCAAACGCAGCUCAAUUUAUGAGAGAAAAAUAGUUGUAGGCUGGGCGCGCUGAUUUGCCAUCAUAUUAAUGAUUCUCCGGCAACAUGAACUUGUGCAGAAAGGCAAACGUGGGAAAAGGACACCGCUAUCUCGCUGUCAGUUGAACAAAGGACACGAGCGAAAACAUGAUGGAAAGGAAAUCAUCUAAGGGCAAGAGUGUGUCAAACUGGAAUUUCCCUAAAACUUAUCUGCUCGCAGAACCAGAAGUCUAGUGCUAAAGACAAAGGACCUAAUACUAUAUUAAUGCAAUUUUAUAGAAGCUUAUUGUCAGAAGCACUGACUGAUUGCUGCUCUUUCUGUCACAAUACCUGGAGGAUAUUGGAAAAUCUGGUAGCAUAGAGGAAAGUAUUUCCAUUGUAGUUCAAGCUUUCUUGGGCUUUUUCUAUAUUAAAAGGUUAAUACAGUUCUUGGAAAAGAUGUGAGGAUUAACUUGAAAAGUUACUGUGAGUAUUUGCUUAGAAGGUCAGUUGUCAUUAAUGUGAUUGUUGCGCUCAUCAUCGUUACUAGAAAGUCAGGGAUCUGUUUUUUUCUCCACGGGAUGCCACCAACAGCUGCUGCAGUGAUGUGGAACUUAAAAGUCAAACUGCUGUAGCUUAGUAAAAGUCAAAUACAAAAUCAUUCAAUUUAGCUUAGGGAUGACUUACGGGAACUGAAUUGUUGAGAAAGCGAGCAAAACUACCCAAAGAAGAGGCAGAGAAGCAAGCAAACCAAUCUAGCUAAACAGCACGCCUUAAGAGCUCUUCUGAAUCAAACCGGAUUAUUUCAUAAUUGGAAAGGCGAGAUUCUACUGAAGCCAAUGAACGCAGGCUAACAAGCAAUGUCUAAGAAAAAUUCAACUUCUGAGAUGAAACUUGAUGAACGAAUCACUGAAGUUGUUAAAACCCACAAAAAUGUAUUUUAAAGACACUGGAAGCAGGAAGCCAGUUUACAAAAAACAAUCGCAAACCCAAAAAAGGAAAAUCUGUCUGGCCUCGUACACUAGUUGCAAUCAACGGAACAACUGAGAAAGAUCAUUUCCUGAUGCCCUCUGUUGCGGAGGAGGAUGUUAAAAUUCCCUGCUGUAACUUCUGAACCUACUGGUUAUCAGGAUAACGUACUAAAUGUCAGAAAAGUAGAUACUGGAGCAAACUGAUAAAUUGGUUUUUAAAUUAAGUCCAAGAAUUGUGAAAGAAAAUUGUGCAGUCAAGCUGCUACAAAAAUAUAAAAAGUGCCUCUAAUGGAAGUUGUUAGACUGGAUUGUCAGCGGACAAUACAUCAUGUCUUAAUUUUUUUAUAUGAAACUCCACGCUUUCAUUUCUAAUAUCUCUUUAUGGCUUUCAGGAUGAGACAUGACAGGGUGUGGGCAAUUCUGGGACAGUAAAAAAGUUACACGGACUAAGUUCUACAUUGGCGAGGAAAGAAAUGUAUGGAUUUCCCCCCAGCCCCAGUACGAAAUAGUUACAAAACACCCAGUGGUAUCUCACUGUAUGAAGUAAUUUUAUAAUGUGUUCACAAUUAAACAUCAGUAUUAGAAAUAGAAAAGUCUUAAUUCCUUGGAAGUGGACUAGCUCACUGCGGAUCUUGGAAAAAAUCAUCUCUUCUUUACCUUCUUAAAUGAUCUUUUGCUGCUUCUUUUUACAUUUUUUUGUCUGUCUCAGGCACCUUUUUGUGGUGUAAUAUUUGUUAAAACAGAUACAGCGUUCUUCUGAAUUACAUUAGCCUGCAAAUAUGACCAGCAAUGACACUAUCUCUUCAGCUGCAGCUGCACCGUAAAGUAAAACUUCAGGAAAAGGUUUUGCAUGGGCAUAUGAGACAAUUGUGAACAAUAACAUUCUUAAAUGUUGCUUUUGGCUUUUUGCUGAUCAAAAAUAUUUAAUCAGGUAUUAAAAACAUUUUUAGAAACCAUGCUCUUGAUCUGCUACAUCAAUAAAUCAAGCUGCCACAACCCCCUAAAAACUACUAUAGGGUACAAUAGCUAAUUCUGUGACCUGUUUCAAUAAAACUUCAAAUAAACAUA